CCGGGAUUGGGCUUUAUAUAGACCAAUCCUCUGUCCAGAAGUGGGGGGGGGGGCAUGGUCCCUCCCUAACACGGGAUUGGGCCAAUUUAAGGGCAAUCCCCCACCAGGAAAUAGGGAGCAUGGUCCCUCCCCAGCACAAGAUUGGUCCAUUUGAGACCAAUCCCACACCAGGAAGUAGGAAGGUGGGACCCCAGGGGCAUGCUGGGGGCUGCAUUCCCCCCACCCCCAGAAUAUUUUAAAACCCACAAGGUCAGCAGGUGAGGUCUAUGACACCAGCGUGGGGACCAGCCCAGAGUGAACAAGGUGACAGUACCAGCUGAGGCUACUGGAGGUGACUACGACAGCAAAGGCAGAAGCUUUGGGAGCCCUCAGCCCAGAGAUGGUUGGACAGACUUGACCUCAGUUCGAGACAGAGGCCAGUCUUAUGAACACCAGGAGGCAUGAAGGACAAGAGGCAUGAAGGAAUAAUCUAUGUGCAAACAAGGAGGCAGGAGUUGGAAUGGAGACUUCCACUGUAUAUCCAUUGGAAAUGGAUGAGAAUAAGACUGGUCCUUAGGCAACAGACACAGACUUCAUCGCCAGACCUGUAUGCAAAGCCUUGUCAGAGUGGCAGCACUUUCCAGGGAUGGUGCUCUGGUGGCAUAAGCUUUCGGUUGUUAACAGCAACUUUAUGGAAUAACAGACAGCUCAAGAUACUUCCUUGACAGGACAGAAAUGGAGUUCAUUCUGUGUGAUUUUACACCAACAAGAAUCUGGUACAUAGACCAUAUUUUCAUAGGUUUUCUUUCAGACAGAUUUAAAAAUUAAAAGCAUUGCUUUAUGUGCUGAGUCUAGCCUUUUGAUUAAUGGAGAAGUUGGCAUCUCUGUUAACAACCAGUCUUGGAAUCCUUGGAGUGGGUCCACUUUUUGAAGCAAUGUCCACCUGCUGGUAAAAAAAAAAAGAUUAUUCUAACCAAAACCAAUUAAGAUGAGCCUUAAAAUAGAAAGUUAUGACUGUAGAUGCUAAGCAGAUAAAGACAUGUUAUCCAGACUUCAUUGACCUAUCUCC
rnacentral:lncRNA from 1 species